GACGAACGCUGGCGGCGCGCCUAACACAUGCAAGUCGAACGAGCGAGAGAGAGCUUGCUUUCUCGAGCGAGUGGCGAACGGGUGAGUAACGCGUGAGGAACCUGCCUCAAAGAGGGGGACAACAGUUGGAAACGACUGCUAAUACCGCAUAAGCCCACGACCCGGCAUCGGGUCGAGGGAAAAGGAGCAAUCCGCUUGGAGAUGGCCUCGCGUCCGAUUAGCUAGUUGGUGAGGUAACGGCCCACCAAGGCGACGACCGGUAGCCGGACUGAGAGGGUGAACGGGCACACUGGGACUGAGACACGGCCCAGACUCCUACGGGAGGCAGCAGUGGGGAAUAUUGCACAAUGGGGGAAACCCUGAUGCAGCGACGCCGCGUGGAGGAAGAAGGUCUUCGGAUUGUAAACUCCUGUUGUUGAGGAAGAUAAUGACGGUACUCAACAAGGAAGUGACGGCUAACUACGUG
rnacentral:rRNA from 1 species